rnacentral:rRNA from 1 species
UGCCAGCAGCCGCGGUAAUACGGAGGGUGCAAGCGUUGUUCGGAAUCACUGGGCAUAAAGAGCACGUAGGCGGCUCGCUAAGUCAGAUGUGAAAGCCCUGGGCUUAACCCGGGAAUUGCAUUUGAUACUGGCGAGCUAGAGGACAGCAGGGGUAAGUGGAACUCCAGGUGGAACGGUGAAAUGUGUAGAUAUCUGGAGGAACACCGGUGGCGAAAGCGGCUUACUGGGCUGUCUCUGACGCUGAGGUGCGAAAGCGUGGGGAGCAAACAGGAUUAGAUA